rnacentral:rRNA from 1 species
CCUACGGGGGGCUGCAGUGGGGAAUAUUGGACAAUGGGGGGAACCCUGAUCCAGCCAUGCCGCGUGUGUGAAGAAGGCCCUCGGGUUGUAAAGCACUUUCAGUGAGGAAGAACGCCUGGUGGUUAAUACCCAUCAGGAAAGACAUCACUCACAGAAGAAGCACCGGCUAACUCCGUGCCAGCAGCCGCGGUAAUACGGAGGGUGCGAGCGUUAAUCGGAAUUACUGGGCGUAAAGCGCGCGUAGGUGGCUUGAUAAGCCGGUUGUGAAAGCCCCGGGCUCAACCUGGGAACGGCAUCCGGAACUGUCAAGCUAGAGUGCAGGGGAGGAAGGUAGAAUUCCCGGUGUAGCGGUGAAAUGCGUAGAGUUCGGGAGGAAUACCAGUGGCGAAGGCGGCCUUCUGGACUGACACUGACACUGAGGUGCGAAAGCGUGGGUAGCAAACAGGAUUAGAUACCCUAGUAGUC